rnacentral:rRNA from 1 species
CCUACGGGAGGCAGCAGUAGGGAAUCUUCCACAAUGGGCGAAAGCCUGAUGGAGCAACGCCGCGUGGGUGAAGAAGGUCUUCGGAUCGUAAAACCCUGUUGUUAGAGAAGAAAGUGCGUGAGAGUAACUGUUCACGUUUCGACGGUAUCUAACCAGAAAGCCACGGCUAACUACGUGCCAGCAGCCGCGGUAAAACGUAGGUGGCAAGCGUUAUCCGGAUUUAUUGGGCGUAAAGGGAACGCAGGCGGUCUUUUAAGUCUGAUGGGAAAGCCUUCGGCUUAACCGGAGUAGUGCAUUGGAAACUGGGUGACUUGAGUGCAGAAGAGGAGAGUGGAACUCCAUGUGUAGCGGUGAAAUGCGUAGAUAUAUGGAAGAACACCAGUGGCGAAAGCGGCUCUCGGGUCUGUAACUGACGCUGAGGUUCGAAAGCGUGGGUAGCAAACAGGAUUAGAUACCCGAGUAGUC